rnacentral:rRNA from 1 species
UAAUACAGAGGUCUCGAGCGUUAAUCGGAGUCACUGGGCUUAAAGGGUGCGUAGGCGGACCCGCAAGUGCUUUGUGAAAUCCCAUGGCUUAACCAUGGAAUGGCUUGGCAUACUGCGGGUCUUGAGGUCGGUAGAGGCUGCUGGAACUCUAGGUGGAGCGGUGAAAUGCGUAGAUAUCUAGAGGAACGCCGAUGGUGAAGACAGGCAGCUGGGCCGAAUCUGACGCUGAGGCACGAAAGCGUGGGGAGCGAACGGGAUUAGAUACCCCGGUAGUCCACGCCCUAAACGAUGUACACUAGAUCGCAGGGGCUCUGACGCCAUUGUGAUCGAAGAAAAAUUGUUAAGUGUACCGCCUGGGGAGUACGGUCGCAAGGCUA